CAAUAGCGUAUAUUAAAGUUGUUGCAGUUAAAAAGCUCGUAGUUGGAUUUCUGGUGGGAGCGAUCGGUCUGGCGCUUAGCGCGAGUACUUGCAUCGUCUCCGGCCAUCCUUGGGGAGAGUCUGUCUGGCAUUAGGUUGUCGGGCAGAGGAUCCUCAUCGUUUACUGUGACAAAAUUAGAGUGUUCAAAGCAGGCUUAUGCCGUUGAAUAUAUUAGCAUGGAAUAAUAAGAUAGGACUUUGGUACUAUUUUGUUGGUUUGCGCACCAAAGUAAUGAUUAAUAGGGACAGUUGGGGGUAUUCGUAUUCCGUUGUCAGAGGUGAAAUUCUUGGAUUUACGGAAGACGAACUACUGCGAAAGCAUUUACCAAGGAUGUUUUCAUUAA
rnacentral:rRNA from 1 species